GGCCUUAUAGCUCAGUGGUAGAGCGUUGCACUAGUAAUGCAAAUGUCAAGAGUUCAAUUCUCUUUAGGGCCU
rnacentral:tRNA from 1 species